rfam:Steinernema glaseri strain NC unplaced genomic scaffold GLAS_2906, whole genome shotgun sequence.
GGCUGAGUGGUUUAGUGGUAUGAUUCUCGCUUAGGGUGCGAGAGGUCCCGGGAUCAAUCCCCGGCUCAGCCC